AUGAGAAUUAUGAAUACAAUUCCGAUAUUAAUGCACUUAUUGAGAAAGUCUCCAUUGUCCAAGAAGAGACUAAUAUUUUGCAGGAAUCUAUGGAAGAAGAAGUUGAUAAAACUCGAUGCUUGGCUCAAGAUCUGGCGCGGGUUAGGCGAGCACGGUGGUGGGAUGAAUGGACAGGAGAGGUGGGCGAUGAGGGUACGAAACAAUCGGUCCAUCGCGAGGAGGUCGGCGACAGUCGGCGCUACUCCACCCACCAGAUCCGCGACGCCCCUGCCCAAAUCGUCUCCGCAUGCGCCGCACCCAAUCCCGUCCUCGCUCGUCUCGUCCAUGGCCAGCUCCCCAUCCUCCUGCGGUUCCCCUACCUUUCUUCCUUCUCCUCCCUCACGACACGCCGCCUAUCUCCAUCCCGCAUCCCCGCUGCCGCCACAACCUCUCCAAGAGGCUCGCCCUCUGUGCUACAAAGCAGCAGGCCAGGAUCUGGUGGAGGAAGAGGAGAUCCCGGGGUCCAGGCGGUGGCUCGGUCGAUGCGAGAUGUUCUUGAAGAAAUACCUGGAAUGUGGGAUGGAGAGAUUGCAGUUGCAGAGAGUAUGGUCAUAA
rnacentral:rRNA from 1 species